rnacentral:rRNA from 1 species
UACGGAGGGGGCUAGCGUUGUUCGGAAUUACUGGGCGUAAAGCGCACGUAGGCGGCUUUGUAAGUUAGAGGUGAAAGCCUGGAGCUCAACUCCAGAAUUGCCUUUAAGACUGCAUCGCUUGAAUCGCGGAGAGGUGAGUGGAAUUCCGAGUGUAGAGGUGAAAUUCGUAGAUAUUCGGAAGAACACCAGUGGCGAAGGCGGCUCACUGGGCGCGUAUUGACGCUGAGGUGCGAAAGCGUGGGGAGCAAACAGG